GACGAACCGUACGAACGUUAUUCGGAAUCACUGGGCUUAAAGGGUGCGUAGGCGGCGCAGAAAGUAGGGUGUGAAAUCCCUCGGCUUAACCGAGGAACUGCGCUCUAAACUACUGUGCUCGAGUGAGAUAGAGGUGAGCGGAACUUAGGGUGGAGCGGUGAAAUGCGUUGAUAUCCUAAGGAACACCGGUGGCGAAAGCGGCUCACUGGAUCUCUUCUGACGCUGAGGCACGAAAGCUAGGGUAGCAAACGGG
rnacentral:rRNA from 1 species